UCGUAGCUCAGCUGGAUAGAGUACCUGGCUACGAACCAGGCGGUCAGAGGUUCGAAUCCUCUCGA
rnacentral:tRNA from 1 species